CCUGGCUGGUUGCUGCGGCGCUGCUGGUGCGCACGUGUCUGGCUGUCGCUUCCCCGAGCAGCGUGGUCAGUGCUCAUCCUCCUGGUAUCUGGAAUCUGAGAUGAUGGCAGAGGAGACUUUGGAAGUGCUGGAAUGACCAAAUGAGGAACAGGGAAGGAACUCAGCAGCUGAUCCUGGAGGUUACAAAGACAGCUGGUGGCAUUUAAAAUCCUGCUGUCAUUUACAGUGAGGAGGAAAAUACAGCAUUGCUGUUGCCACUGAAAGGGGAAUUUGCCCCAUGUCUUAGACACAGACCAGAAUCAAAACCCUAUAUCCAAAUAUCCCAGAACAUUGGGAAUGCCAUACAUUGGAGCCAAACGUCACGGGUGAGCCCCAUCUGUCCACUGAAGUCAAAGGGAGUUUUGCCUUUAAAUACAAUGGAAUCAGAGUUCUGUCUAUGUCCUUAUUUAAGCACCAUUACCAUAAUAAUCCCACAACACACAUUAGAGGUAGGAAAGUAUUAUUCCCAUUUUUAUUGAUGGGGGAACAGAAACACAGAGGAACUAAGGCCCAGAUCCUCCCAAGUAUUUAGACUCUUAAUUUCCAUUGAAAUCAAUGGAAGUCAGGAGCUUCAGUACCUUCGAGGAUCUGGGUCUAAGUGACACAGGAGGUCUGCGGUGGAGCAGGAGUUUGAACCUAGGUUUCCUGUGUAGAAUGACUGGCUACUUCCUCUUCCUCCCUUGUCCUGUCAGCCAGCCAUAUCCAAACUCCAGCUCUGAACUGUGGAUGGGAGGGGAUCCAGGUCCACUUUCCAGCCCCCUCUCUGUGUAAGACGAAGCUGAGUUCUAUUUUAUGCUCCCUUCCUUAGGGAACGGAUUCAAAAUUGCUUCCUUUGCAGUCAUGUUACAAAAUGAA